GAUGAACGCUGGCGGCGUGCCUAAUACAUGCAAGUCGAGCGAACAGACGAUGAGCUUGCUCCUCUGACGUUAGCGGCGGACGGGUGAGUAACACGUGGAUCACCUCCCUAUAUGACUGGGAUAACUUCGGGACACGGGCUCUUAUACCGGAUGAUAUAUUGCACCGCAGGGGUCAAUAGUGAAAUACGGCUUUGCUGUCACUACUCGCGGGUUCCCGGCCGCAUGAGCUAGUUGGUAAGGUAACGGCCUACCACGGCAACGAGGCGUAGGCGACCUGAGGGGGUGAUAGGCCACACGGGAGCUGGGACACGGACAAGACUCCUACGGGAGGCAGCAGUAGGGAAUGUGCCGCAAUGGGCGAAAGCCUGACGGAGCAAGGCCGAGUGAGUGAUGAAGGUCUUCGGAUCGUAAAACUGUGUUACUAGGGAAGAACAGAUGUGGAAGUAAAUAUGCACGGAGUGACGGUACCGAAUCAGAAAGCAACGGCUAACUACGUG
rnacentral:rRNA from 1 species